rnacentral:rRNA from 2 species
CAGCAGCCGCGGUAAUACGUAGGGGGCGAGCGUUGUCCGGAUUUAUUGGGCGUAAAGAGCUCGUAGGCGGUUGCGGAAGUCGGAUGUGAAAUACCGGGGCUCAACUCCGGGGCGCCAUUCGAUACUCCGCUGACUCGAGUCCGGUAGGGGAAGGUGGAAUUCCUGGUGUAGCGGUGAAAUGCACAGAUAUCAGGAGGAACACCGGUGGCGAAGGCGGCCUUCUGGGCCGGUACUGACGCUGAGGAGCGAAAGCUAGGGGAGCGAACAGGAUUAGAUACCCUGGUAGUCCUC